GGGAGAUUAGCUCAGCGGUAGAGCUAUUCGUUUACACCGAAUCGGUCAUUGGUUCAAGUCCAAUAUCUCCCA
rfam:Cyanophage S-SSM4 genomic sequence.